rnacentral:sRNA from 1 species
UAUCAGUUUUCUUUUCUCUCAUCCUAAACACAAUGGAGUUUUUUCUCUAUGAACUACUUCCCUGGAAAGCUCGUCUUUCCAGUGGACAUAAACACAAACAAUAUUUUGCAUUAUGAAAAACUAUUAUACCAAUAAAUUUAAUAUUUAAAACUUUCAACAACGGAUCUCUUGGUUCUCGCAUCGAUGAAGAACGCAGCGAAUUGCGAUAUGUAUUGUGAAUUGCAGAUUUUCGUGAAUCAUCAAAUCUUUGAACGCACAUUGCGCCCUCUGGUAUUCCAGGGGGCAUGCCUGUUUGAGCGUCAUUUCUCUCUCAAACCUUUGGGUUUGGUAGUGAGUGAUACUCGUUUCCGGGUUAACUUGAAAGUGGCUAGCCGUUGCCUUCUGCGUGAGCAGGGCUGCGUGUCAAGUCUAUGGACUCGACUCUUGCACAUCUACGUCUUAGGUUUGCGCCAAUUCGUGGUAAGCUUGGGUCAAAGAGCUUAUAGGUGUUAUAAAGACUCGCUGGUGUUUGUCUCCUUGAGGCAUACGGCUUAACCAAAACUCUCAAAG